GUGCAGUCGUCUGGUGAAGUCACUGCAGAAGCUCUGUUCACACACAUAUCCGGCCCCAGGACACAACCUGAUCAAACAACUAUCAGAUGAAGGACAAACCACUGUAUUUAACACCAAGGAAACGUUUUACGAUGAAAUUGGCCCCAUCUCCCAACUGUUCACUGUGUCCCUACAUCAGGACUGAGGUCAACACUGUUGAACAACAUCACAACCUCUUGAAUGACAAAUCCUCAGUGUCAUCAGCAUCCGAUUCCAUCAACAAGGCACCAUUUGUUAGGCCAGUGAAAUUCCACUUCAUGGAUUUAUGGACUGUGGAAGACCCAGUCUUUAGUAAAUGCCUCUGACAGCAUUUUGACCUUGUCGGCCAACUGUGAAACAGCUUAGGCCUGUUGGAGCUGUCACAGAAAGGUUAUGAACUUUGUUUCAGCCAGACUACCAGAACAGGGUGGUGCGGUCUGCACAACGCAUCACCGGGGGCAAACUACCUGCCCUCCAGGAUAGCCACAGCACCUGAUGUCACAGGAAGACCAAAAAGAACAUCAACCACCCGAACCACUGUCUGUUUACCCCUCUACCAUCCAGAAGGUGAGAUCAGUACAGGUGCAUCAAAGCUGGGACCGUGAGACUGAAAAACAGCUUCUAUCUCAAGGCCAUCAGACUGUUAAACAGCCAUCACUUGCACAGAGGCUGCUGCCUAUGUACAAACUUGAAAUCAUUGGCCACUUUAAUAAAUGGAACACCAGUCACUUUAGUAAUGUUUACAUAUCUUACAUUACUCAUCUCAUAUGUAUAGGUAUUCUAUACUAUCUAUUGCAUUUUAUACUAUGCCGCUCUGACAUUGCUCAUCCAUAUAUUUAUAUAUUUUUAUUCCGUUCCUUUACUUAGAUUUAUGUGUAUUAGGUAUUUGUUGUGGAAUUGUUAGAUAUUGCUGCACUGUCGGAACUAGGAGCACAAGCAUUUCGCUGCACUCACAAUAACAUUUGCUAACCGUGUGUAUGU